rnacentral:rRNA from 1 species
UGGGGAAUAUUGCACAAUGGGCGCAAGCCUGAUGCAGCCAUGCCGCGUGUGUGAAGAAGGCCUUCGGGUUGUAAAGCACUUUCAGCGAGGAGGAAGGUGGUGAAUUUAAUACGUUCAUCAAUUGACGUUACUCGCAGAAGAAGCACCGGCUAACUCCGUGCCAGCAGCCGCGGUAAUACGGAGGGUGCAAGCGUUAAUCGGAAUUACUGGGCGUAAAGCGCACGCAGGCGGUUUGUUAAGUCAGAUGUGAAAUCCCCGGGCUCAACCUGGGAACUGCAUUUGAAACUGGCAAGCUAGAGUCUCGUAGAGGGGGGUAGAAUUCCAGGUGUAGCGGUGAAAUGCGUAGAGAUCUGGAGGAAUACCGGUGGCGAAGGCGGCCCCCUGGACGAAGACUGACGCUCAGGUGCGAAAAGCGUGGGGAGCAAAACAGGAUUAGAUACCCCUGGUAGUCCACGCUGUAAAACGAUGUCGAUUUUGGAGGUUGUGCCCUUGAGGCGUGGCUUCCGGAGCUAACGCGUUAAAUCGACCGCCUGGGGAGUACGGCCGCAAGGUUAAAACUCAAAUGAAUUG